UGAGCCACCAUGUGGUUGU
rnacentral:piRNA from 1 species